rnacentral:rRNA from 1 species
GACGAACGCUGGCGGCGUGCUUAACACAUGCAAGUCGAACGGAAAGGCCCUGCUUGCAGGGUACUCGAGUGGCGAACGGGUGAGUAACACGUGGGUGAUCUGCCCUGCACUUCGGGAUAAGCCUGGGAAACUGGGUCUAAUACCGGAUAGGAGCCAUUUUUAGUGUGAUGGUUGGAAAGUUUUUUCGGUGUAGGAUGAGCUCGCGGCCUAUCAGCUUGUUGGUGGGGUAAUGGCCUACCAAGGCGGCGACGGGUAGCCGGCCUGAGAGGGUGGACGGCCACAUUGGGACUGAGAUACGGCCCAGACUCCGACGGGAGGCAGCAGUGGGGAAUAUUGCACAAUGGGCGCAAGCCUGAUGCAGCGACGCCGCGUGGGGGAGGACGGCCUUCGGGUUGUAAACUCCUUUCGCUAGGGACGAAGCUUUUUGUGACGGUACCUAGAGAAGAAGCACCGGCUAACUACGUG